rnacentral:rRNA from 1 species
ACGCACGUGUGAAACUUGAAGGAAUUGACGGAAGGGCACCACAAGAACGCGUGGAGCAUGUGGCUUAAUUUGACCCAACGCGGGAAAUCUUACCGGGUCCGGACACACUGAGGAUUGACAGGCAAUCGUUCAUUCCAUUAAAUUUUUAAUUUAUUGGGUGAAUUCUAAAUAUGCUAGUCCUUUCAUGAUUAUGUGAUAGGUGGUGCAUGGCCGUUCUUAGUUCGUGGAGUGAUCUGUCUGCUUAAUUGCGUUUCACUAAGGGCCUAUAUAAUUAACGUGCGUUUGUAAGCACAUUGACCCCUCAUGUUUGCAUCUGUUAAUUCAGUUCAGCAUGUUAGCGCGCGUCUCUGGUUUUGCUUUACAUCGUACUAAUGGGACCCUGAAA